AAGGUUAAAAGGAGACUCGGCGACUGUAAUGAUACUCGGUGAUGCUUGACUUGGAAGUAGGUUGCCUCCUUCGCUUUGUUCGGAGGCACACAUCUUGGGAUAUCGGUCAAAAAGCUCAGUUGCCGGCCUCCUACCACGAGUGAAGGCUGCCUGUGUCAUAGCGGACAAGUCUGGUUCUCCAACACGCAGCCUCAUAUUGCUGCUACAGCCUUGUAAUAGGAAUGACAACUGAAGAAGAGCAAAGCACGACCAGGCCACUAGAAAAUAUUCCGAUACUAAAAGAUGAAUCUACACCAGUAGAUACUGUGGUGACCUCCAAUGGACAGACCCUAAGUAAUGGCGACACCAGGAAUGAAGAUGUCCAAACAGAGAAUAUUCACCCUUCUCCACGAGGAAUAAUCGCCCAAAAUAUUCUAUCACAAAUACCCAAGACAAUCCUUACGUGACGGAAAUGAAGGACCAGUACAAAGUGUAUUUGUUUAUAAUGGUGAUGUAAGAGUAUUGUAAGUAACAUAAAGAGUAAGGCAUACGUUUACCUACAGGCCACUAAACAGAAAAUUCUACAAGUAAAUAAAAGCAUAAGUAAAAUUACGUACAGGAACAUGACACAAAACCAGAAUCAGCAACAACGAAGCUGUUUAAGAGUGGUUCACAAUUUAUUAUAAGUGUACAGGAGCAACAACACCAAACGGAACUGAGAUUCAUAAUGAAAAUCACUGAUUCGAACACCGAGCGGAAGAUCAGCUAUCCUGAUUGAUUUUUUCUUAGUUUUCCUCUGUCCCUUCAGAGAAAUACUGAGAAUAUACCAGAACAGGGACCCCAGCGAUUUAUCGUGCACAGUAAUCUCAGGAGUUGAUAAAGUGCCAUGAAGUGACCAAAUUUCGUUCGCAAGGAGCGCGACUGUGUGAGCAGAUAGUUCCAUGGGAAAACUACGUUUGUCGGCCACCUUGCUAUGAAAAUGUUUAGAAGGUUACUUCAAAUAAAAGGUUUGAAUACCAAGUUCUAGGAAACAAACCAGAACUACUUUAAGCUAUUUACAAACUUUCAGUGUGUUUUUCCAUAACAGGUUUAUCGAUAGCUUUAUGACAUCAAUAAUUUCCACUUCUUCAGACUGAUAUUCAAAUAAAACUGGUAUUGGAAUAAAAUACUAUGCGAACUUCAAGGACAUAUGAACAAUUAUAUGCUUGUACGUAAGUCCCCUACUAAGUAGAUCUGUUUUCUGUUAUCCCGUCAUUAUAAGUACCUCAAGUGUAUUAUUUCUUAUUAAAAUUGAACUAAUAUCCAGGUUUUGAGGGUAUGAACUGGACUCAUCUGGCUCAGCAGCGGCCUCUUGAAUCACGGUAAUGAA